rnacentral:rRNA from 1 species
GUCCACGCCGUAAACGAUGGGCACUAGGUGUCGGAGGUGUCGACUCCUCCGGUGCCGAAGCUAACGCAUUAAGUGCCCCGCCUGGGGAGUACGGCCGCAAGGCUAAAACUCAAAGGAAUUGACGGGGACCCGCACAAGCAGCGGAGCAUGUGGUUCAAUUCGACGCAACGCGAAGAACCUUACCUGGGCUUGACAUGUAGGUGACAACCGUGGAAAACACGGUCUCCCUUCGGGGCACCUUCACAGGUGGUGCAUGGCUGUCGU